rnacentral:rRNA from 1 species
AACUUCUGGUUUGGCGCGCGCGGCCCGUUGCGGCAACGCAGUGUGUGCCGUUGUGCGCCUGCCAUCCUUCUGGCGUUCGGGUGUGCCCUUCACUGGGAUUGCAUUCGGGUGUCAAGAUCUUUUACUUUGAAAAAAUUAGAGUGUUUAAAGCAGGCUUGCGCAAUGAAUACAUUAGCAUGGAAUAAUAAUUUAGGACUUCUGUUCUAUUUUGUUGGUUUCUAGGAUGGAAGUAAUGAUUGAUAGGGAUAGUUGGGGGUGCUAGUAUUCAGCGGCCAGAGGUGAAAUUCUUGGAUUCGCUGAAGACUAACUUAUGCGAAAGCAUU